GGAUGCGAUCAUACCAGCACUAAAGCACCGGAUACCAUCAGAACUCUGAAGUUAAGCGUGCUUGGGCGAGAUUAGUACUAGGAUGGGUGACCUUCUGGGAAGUCCUCGUGUUGCAUUCC
rnacentral:rRNA from 1 species